rnacentral:rRNA from 1 species
AAUCAACGCUGGCGGCGUGCUUAACACAUGCAAGUCGAGCGGUAAGGCCCUUUCGGGGGUACACGAGCGGCGAACGGGUGAGUAACACGUGGGUGACCUGCCCUUAGCUCUGGGAUAAGCCUGGAAAACUGGGUCUAAUACCGGAUAUGACUCCAUGACGCAUGUUGUGGGGUGGAAAGCCUUGUGCGGCUGGGGAUGGGCCCGCGGCCUAUCAGCUUGUUGGUGGGUGAUGGCCUACCAAGGCGA